GGUUCCCGAUUCACAAAAAAAAAACCCUAGCUAGUGUUCGCCACUCCUCUCGCGCACAACUUUUCCCUCUCGCGGCGAUCCUCCCUCUCGCAGCGAUCUAGCGGCGCUCCUCUCGCGACGAUCCUCCCUCUCGCACACAACUUUUCCCACUCGCGGCGAUCCUACCUCUCGCGCACAGUAUUUGGUUUCAUUGCUUCUCCUUGGAUACCAGAGAGGAUAACUAGUUCCAUCAGAGAAAUGAAGAUUAAUAUUUUUCUUGGCUGUGCAGCCUAUCAGUCCAUUAGGAACUAGUUGUCAAGAAUCGAGAGGUCACAAACUUGAGUUGUGAAAGGAUGCCAUUAUGUAGGUUGAACAAACACUAGAUCAAUGCCGAAAUUUGGAGGAAGAUUUGAUACUUCUUUAUGGAGUAUUGAUUGAAGCAGUGGAGAAUCAUAUGCCACAAGUUAUUGUUAUUGAUGAAAUUGGAACUAAACUUGAAGCAAUAGCUGCUAGCACCAUCGCCCAACGUGGCAUCCAGCUUGCUGCCACUGCCCAUGAGUAAGUACAAUAGAGAAUUUGAUAAUGAAUCCUUCCUUGGAGAUGCUUGCGGGAGGAAUACGAAGUACGUGUUAUAAAUUAAUUAUGUUUGUAUUUCUUAACAUAAGCUUAAUUAAAUUUAUGACCUAGUAACAGUUGAUGCAUCAAAUUUGCAUAAUUCUAUUAAUGUAGAUAUGAUAGCAAAUUUAGCUUCACUUCAACAGAAUGCUGUUUGCUACUUUUUGCUCUCCGUUUUAGACACACACACAUACACAUAUAAAUUAUAAAUGAAUUAAAAUAAGUUAUUUUAAAUAGGCUUACUAUAAGACUAAUUUGUUAUAGUGAUGAUUGUCCUUAAGAGUGUUACACUAGGUGACGAAGAAGCAAGCAGAAGAGGUAUCCAAAAGACUGUUCUGGAGCGCAAAGGACCCUCAACAUUUUCAUGUGCUGCGGAGAUUGUCUUAAAGAUUGAAGUACGAGUACAUCAUAGUCUAGAAGCCACAGUAGAUGCACUUCUUGCAGGUUAUUAAGCUUUAUGUUUUCAUCCAACCAGACCUUAUAAGACAGUAUAAUUCUUUGUGAAGUUCUAGCCUAUUUCUCUUUUACUAUGCUUUGAAAGUUGACAAGGCAGCAGCAAGGGGCUGAUUUACUUUUAUCCAAAAUGAAAUCCAUCCAAAAUGAAUUAGAUAGUUGAAUUAGGUUGUUGGUACUUAUAUUUUGAUAUACUUUUGGACAAUUAUGAUAUUAUUUUGAUCAAAAUUUAUUCUAUGAAUGUCAUUUUAGAUUGAACUUGAUCAUAGUAUGUUAUUUUUUGUUUGUAUUUAUGUUUGAUGAUAAUAUGUAUUUGUUGUCUGUAUUGUUGGUUCAAAAAUGUUUACAUCCUGACCUUCAAUGGUUGAGUCUCAUCUACUUGAUCGUAAACUACAAAUACCCUUGUAGAAAAUUUAUGAACCAAUGGUUCCACUGCCAAAUUGUUUCUUUUUUCAUGAAAAGAUAGAAAAUUUAUGAACCAAUUUUAAUACUACAUCUUACUGAUUUUUCAAAGAAAAAGGCAUAAUCUAUUUUUUUCUUCUUCUCCCUUUUCUUGGUUAGGAUAUGUGAACCUAUACAUUGUGGUAGUGAUUUGCACUAACUUGAAUUGCUGGAUAUUCAACUUCAUACGGAAUUAGCUAACUACAUAUUACUAACUUGUUAAGCAACAAAUUAUGAGAACAAACAAUCUUCUAUAUUAUAGAAUCUCAAAGCCUCUUCUCGAAUGAAAUAUGGUGCUUCUCGACUCAAGAAUUUCAAGAAAGCAAAGACGGCAAAGAAUGUAAAUUCCCGGAAUAAUGCUAGUCCAGAUUAUCAUAGUGAUAGACGUUUGUUUGGUGAUGAAUGCGCAUUUUGCCAUUCGUUUCGAAUUACGGAGGUGAUGUAUAUGUGAAGUAUUGUCCUUCCCCUUUGUACUCGGGUUAAAUUUUAGUUAACUCAUGGUGUUAUUCUGAUCCUUUGAGAUAGUAAUUGUUUUUGCAGUGGAUAUUCUGCAACAAUAUUUUUUUUUACAAAAUGGCAUUUGCAGGCUUCUGGACCUAUGUAUUGCUACAAAGAUGGAAAACUCACUGCAUUGGAGGAAGCAAAUCAGCCUGCAUGGAAUAUAUGUUCAUGAAAAGUGCGUUGUAUGGCAAGUUAUUUCUUCGAUAGAUGUUUCAGAAUUAUGGGAUUUCAAAGUAAUUGCGUAUGAUGAUUUAUUUUCUAGCUUGUUACAUUCUUUCCACUGAUUGUUACAUCGCUAGUUAAAUCCAUAUCUAAUGUUUAUUCUUGUGCCUUUAGCAAUUCCUUCUUAUCAUUUGGAGUUCUGGAGCUUAGAUGGUUUAUGCUUCUUCCUUACUGAUCCUUUUUCUGUUUGGUGAUUGUGUACUUAGGGCUCCCCAAGUGUAUUUUUAUGGAGAAAUCGUGAAAAACUUUGAGUUAGAAUUAAAGCGAGCAUCAAAGUUAAAAUGCAACAAAUAUGGGUUGAAAGGUGCUGCUCUUGGUUGUUAUGAUAACAACUGCCAUUGUAUUUUGUUGGAUUCUUGAUUUUUUUUUUUGGGUCAUAAUGGAAGGUGAAGAUGCAUGCUGCAUUUCGAAUGCUAUUUUCUCAAUGUGUUGGCAAGGCACUAAUACAAUCUAUCUACUUAUAGACAUGUCUUGUGGAUCAGCAUACAAUGCUCUGUCUUUGUGGUAGAAGUAAAUUGUAAUGAAUCAACUGAUUUACAGAGAAAGACAAGCCACCACCAUAGUGGUAAUGCUUAUUAA